rnacentral:rRNA from 1 species
UACGUAGGGUGCGAGCGUUACUCGGAAUUACUGGGCGUAAAGUGUGCGCAGGUGGCUUCGCAAGUCGAGUGUGAAAUCCCCGGGCUUAACCUGGGAAUUGCGCUCGAAACUACGGAGCUGGAGUAUGGCAGAGGGAGGUGGAAUUCCACGUGUAGCGGUGAAAUGCGUAGAGAUGUGGAGGAACACCAAUGGCGAAGGCAGCCUCCUGGGCCAAUACUGACACUCAUGCACGAAAGCGUGGGGAGCAAACAGG